CUUUUCCCAGCAAAGGUUUUAAUAUUUGGUGACAACUACAGUGAUCUCUGCAAGAAGCGACAGGAAUUCAUUAAAGGUGAAGACAUCUGGCAAGAAGCAACCAAGAGGAAGAAUAAGCCGAACAGCAAGUGGAAAGAUACGGAAGAGGAGGAUCAUCAAGUUCUACCAGUAAAGAAGAGAAGAGCAACCUGUACAACAGAAGAGUCCACAAACCAAACGAUCGAAGAGUUCAAGCAGCAGCUGGCAAACAAAGAGGGAAAAUAUUUCACUAUAUUUUAAUU